rnacentral:lncRNA from 1 species
ACACAGGAGAAGCCAAAGGCCAAGCAGAGGAGUUAAACAGGGAGUACUCGGUGCUGAAGUCCUCGUUGGGCGAGUCCAUGAAAGCUCCCCCCAUCAUGGGCAGCUGCAAAGAAGGAGAGAGAGAAUUAUCCAGGGCCAUGGGGGCUUGGGCAGAUGUACCCUGCAAAAGGGAAGUGGUCUGGUCAAACAACCCCACAUGAAGCUACGAUCUCUACUGCACCUGCAAAACGGGGCUUUGCUUUUGUGGUUUUAUAAUUGAUGGUAAUCUAUAAAAAUCAGUGUUCACAGCAGCCUUUUGAGGCAGACGUUCUCAUGCCCACGCUACUACGAAAGCAUCAAGGAACUCACCCAACAGCUAGCUGGUGACUCACCAGGACUCACAGCAACCCCUCCAGCCAUUCCCCUCCCCCCAUGCCAGGCUCCUCCAUAAUGACAUGGGUUGUAAAAUGCCUUCAUUCCUCUUCUAAUUUUAAAAAUAAUAUAUGCUUAGCAUAGAACCCUAAGAAAAUAUAAAACAGGAUAAAAAAAUGAGAAUCAUGAUCCCACCACAUAAUCAGUGCUAACAUUUUGAUGGUUUCUCUUUCCAAUCUUUUUUUCCUCUGUGUGUGUGUGUGUGUGUGUGUGUGUGUGUGUGUGUGACAGAGAGAGAGAGAGAGAGACAGAGAGAGAGAGAGAGACAGAGACAGAGAGAAAACACAUUUAAACGUGUUUUUUAAUCCCUGUUUCAAAAUGGCCAUCAAAAUUCCAUUUUAACAGUUGUGUAUUAUUCUAUCAUGAACAUAAGCCACAGUUUAACCUCUCCCCUAGUGUUGGAGAUUUAGCAAUUUCCACUUUUCCUAUGAUAAAUGAUGCACUGAUCAACAUCCUUGUACAUCCAUUAGCAUGUACAUGCAUCAUGGUACACACAUUGUUAUUUAUUAGGGCAGACUCCCAGACA